CCCACCUCAAACACUUGAAACCAUCUACUUGCAGCUGCUGCACGUUCAAUUUCAAGAGCAUGAGGUGUUAAGAAAAUUUUUUCCUCAAAUUAAUUCUUUGGGAACCUUUGUAGUAAAUGGAAAUCACAUUAACAUUAAUGGUUGCAUUCACAGUUAUAUUUAGUGUGACAUCGCUAUUGAUAGUUCCAUUUCAAGUUGUAGUGACAAUGACAAAUAUAUUAAGGGUGUGUUCGUUAACAUGAAGUUAGGGACGAAGAAGGAACUUCUUAUUAUUGUACAAAGUAAAGAACUUCCUUAUUCCAUUGUGCUCAAAAAAAAAAGAGUUCCAUUUGAUGAAACUUGAAAUAGGAACUUGGUUCCUCAAACCCUAUUCUACCCAUAGUUAACAAAUCACCGUUUAAACGGUGAUUUUUUAAAAAAGUCGGUAUUUUUAUGGAAACAAUUUUCAACGGUAACUUUUUGAAAAAGUUGGUAAAAAAUCACGUAGUUUUUAUAGAAACAUUUAAAACACGUUUUUUUCAUAAUACGAUUUAAAUCAGAUCAAAAAAUCAUAUCUUUUUUUUACCUAUAUUUUUUUUUGAGUAGUUUUUUUUUUUUUUUUUUUGUGUAUUGCAGAUAUUGCUACGUUGCUUUUGAAAAAAAUUUAUUAUUUCAAAACAAUACCUAAAAUAUAAACUUUUUUCCCCACGGUGUUCUUCAAAGCUACAGUUACAGAUUGAAGGUAUGAAUUUUUUUUUCGCCUUUUUUAAAAAAACUUAAACAAAUAUAUGCAUAUUUCAGUUGUUAUUUUGGAAAAUCAUUGUGUGAAUGAAAUACUGUUCAAAGCGAAUAAUUUUGUAAGAAAAUCAUGUACAUGCAUAUUUAUGUGAUUAUUAUUUUUAUGAAAAUACUGUUUAUGGCACAAAUUAGAGCUCAAAACAUAGUCUUUUACUAGUGAAUGAGAAGCAGAGAAUGUGACUACAUGACCAAGUAAUCAAUAUUUUUGUUUUUGAUUAUGUGAUAACAAAGAUAAACAAUAUCGUGUAAACUGUAAAUUUACCUGAGUAAGCAAUUGUACAUAUAGGAUUAGUUCCCAAAACUUAAUCCUUCAACUCUGGUUGUUGUUGUCCCAAGAAAAUGACGAACCCUCUUCCUUUUGUCUCUCUAAAAAUUAGUUAGGGCCUCUUCACAAAUCAGUAUAGUUAGGGUUUUCUCUUAAACAACAUCCCAAAUCAGAGAGAAAAACUCUCUCCAAACUAUCUCAAAUCAACGUCUCAUCUUCCUUUUCUCUCUCUAAAAAUCGGGCCUCUUCGAUUACGGUUUGUGA
rnacentral:lncRNA from 1 species